ensembl:lncRNA LINC02263 long intergenic non-protein coding RNA 2263
GAGGCAAAAUGGCAGACUUUAACUGUUGACAUGACCUCCUUGGAACAUUCAGACUGGUAAGAGAAAAGAAUUAAACAUCAAAUCUUCCCUCAGGGACUCCAGAUAAGAGCCCAGGCCAAAGGACACCUUGAUUUUGACCUUGUCAGACCUGGAGUUGAAAAACCAGCUGCACCCUUCUAGAAUUCUUACUUACAAAACUGGAGAUGUUACAAGACAAGAUGAUUUCACUGGAAGCUGAGUUUUGCCAGCUUUGGGGAAAUGCUGAUGCAGAACAUCAUUUAUUUAAGGCUGAUACUCAUGGAUAGAAGAGUCAAAGUGCGAAUAUAUGCACCCUUCUAUACGGAUUCUGCAGAAAGAUAUGCUUGGGUCAUGACUCAGCUAUUUACAAAGUUGCUGGUGACUAAUUGCUGGAAAGAAGCUGGGACGUUCUGUGGCCCCUCCAUUUUAUAUCCCCUCCCUUUGGUUCUCUAGGAAAUUGAGUUCAGGAAAGCUACCAGGAAUAAAACUCUUACUUUUUAUGCAUGUGUAUUUUUUUUCCAGACAAUUUGGAGAGAAUUCCCUGAAACAUUCACUGUACAACUCUACUUUCUUGAAUACUUACUAUAAUUAAAGUUCAUUUCUGAUUUACAUAAA